UACGUAGGGGGCAAGCGUCGUCCGGAUUUAUUGGGCGUAAAGAGCGUGUAGGCGGCUUUGCAGGUCCGCUGUGAAAACUCGAGGCUCAACCUCGAGCUGUCGGUGGAAACCGUAAAGCUAGAGUCCGGAAGAGGAGAGUGGAAUUCCCGGUGUAGCGGUGAAAUGCGUAGAUAUCGGAAGGAACACCAGUGGCGAAAGCGGCUUCCUGGUCCGACACCGACGUUCAGGCACGAAAGCGUGGGGAGCAAACAGG
rnacentral:rRNA from 1 species